rnacentral:lncRNA from 1 species
AAACAGCCACCACCUAGGAUAUCAAGUAGAGAGACUCUGCAGAAUGUCACCAGUUAAGAAGAGUCACACAGUGGUUUUCCAUGUAUUACAGAAGAAGGAGGGUGUACAAAGAAGUUUGGCAGAAACUGGGAUCACCCAGGGCCAGCAGUGUGGACAUGAAGGCAGCCCGGGGGCAAAAGGUAUUUACAUGAACACAAGUACCUGUACUCUGACUUUUCUGUUAGACUUGGGACCUCUCUUGCGGGUAGGUUCAACCAGGUCCCCAGAGGAACCUUGACUUACUCUUUGAGUUCCAAUGUACCCCAACAGCAACAACUCUUGUAAAAGAUCUGGCCACUAUCAUGCAUAUUGACAGAGGACAUAUUCAGGGCUUUGGGCUACCCACAAUCCUCUUUGAUUUCUCAAUGCAGUUGGGAUUGUUUUUUUUUUUUUUUUUUCUUUGCAUUUUACCAUAAAACACUAUCUGUUUUUCAGUAACUGAGGGUAGCUAAGGUGGCAGGAUCAUCAUCACCCCUGAGGUAGUCACUCACCCUCUCUGCUGGAUCCAUUAUGAGGCCAAUCUGGCUGCAUGUAUUUCCCCUAAGAACUUGUGGGAUCAUUGGCCUGAAACUGCAAUGGGUCUUUCCAAUUGCCCUCCCCUCUUUCAAUCAAUGGAAUGAUGUCCUGUCUGUCAAUUGAUCACAUGUCAGACUCAAUGAAGUGUUGUCAAUCUCUGCAUAGAUGGGGUUGGCCUCAUUGCUCAAACAAGCUCUCUGCUUAUCCUUCCUGCCGGUGGCCAGUAAAGUUGCAAUCCACAAAGGGAGAAUCACAAUUCUAGGUGUAUUUUGGUCUGUGGAGUAUCAGAGAACACUUGGUUUGAAGAUUUGUUAUUAUAUGUUUACAUUGUAGAAUUUGGAAUAGGAAUGUUUAAAUUUCAUGUGUAAAGAAAAAGAAUGACUUUUCACAUUUUGCUACAUACACUGGGUUACAUGUGACCAUCACCUAAGAGGAGAAAGUCAUUGAAAUCUGAUUUUCACAAGCAGGAGGAUGCUUGGUAAAUUUGAUGAGGUGUAAGGAUAUAACCAAUAUUAGUAAUAUGAUGUCAAGGAACCCUUGCAGUAAGCCUGUCUUCAUCGAUUCAAUAAGAAGAGAGUCAUAGCAAGGACAGCAGCAAUAAGGCUGUUAAUAUUUUUUAUAAGUAGCUAACAUAAAAUUAACCAGGCACCCAAUAUUUGAUAAUGAAAAACAUAAAGAGAUGGAUGCUAGAUAAGGCUGGAAGAUGAGAUUGUUGGACUUUA